GAGCCUGUUUUGGUUGGCUCAGUGCUCUUGAAAUGAAAAGAAGCUCUAAAUUCAGAUCUCAAGUUACAGACAAACAUUCAAAGAUGCUCAGACUGUGACGAAGUUUAAUUUUCUGCAGGGAAGCCUACACAUCUCUGGUACAGCUCUGCUGAUCCAUCAGGAGCUAAGCUGAGCUCUGCAACUUCUUUUUAAAGAAGAUACCAAGCAGCCAUGAAAUGGUAAUGACUUGGAGUACUUAGCCCAGUAACCCACAGGAGGAAUGCAGACGCUGGUGCCAUCCAUUCACGUCCUGUAACAUGGACUGAUGUUUCAAUGACAGCUGUUCAGAAACCUCCCAUUUAAAGCUCAGCUGGGCUCCCAGAAGAGGCCAGAAGCCUCCAUGGAGGAGCCAAGAAGAGCACUGAAGUGAGGACUUUGUGGGCUGGGAAACCGAGUCACAGAUAGCACAGCACACAGAGGGCACAGUGGAAUGAAAGUAUUCAGAGGAAUGAAAGUAGUGAAGCUUUAUCUUAACCCUGCCAGAUCUGCAUAAGAGAAUUUGGUUUAUAGCUUGAGGCAAAAACACA